rnacentral:misc_RNA from 1 species
UCCGGUUUGACACCGGCAGUCUCCCUAGAGUGCCCGGCAUAACCCGCUGGUAACUAGGGACGAGGGUUGCGCUCGUUGCGGGACUUAACCCAACAUCUCACGACACGAGCUGACGACAGCCAUGCAGCACCUGUGCACGGACUCCGAAGAGGGGCCGAUGUUUCCACCGGCUUUCCCGUGCAUGUCAAGCCCAGGUAAGGUGGGGAUGACGUUGAACGGUUGGUU